GGACUACUGGGGUUUCUAAUCCUGUUUGCUCCCCACGCUUUCGCGCCUCAGCGUCAGUAUUGGGCCAGUGUGUCGCCUUCGCCACUGGUGUUCUUCCGAAUAUCUACGAAUUUCACCUCUACACUCGGAGUUCCACACACCUCUCCCAAACUCUAGGUCGUCAGUUUUGAAGGCAAUUCCGAGGUUGAGCCCCGGGCUUUCACCCCCAACUUGACGACCCGCCUACGCGCCCUUUACGCCCAGUAAUUCCGAGCAACGCUAGCCCCCUUCGUAUUACCGCGGCUGCUGGCAC
rnacentral:rRNA from 2 species